UACGGUCAAAUACUCAAGAAAUUAUCGCAUCCCGUUAGCUCUGCGAAAUCAAGCUGGAGAUCGCUUGGUCAGUACCGAGUUCGGGGACAAUUUGGGAAUCCCAAGUGCUGUAUU